CUAAUCUUCCUCCAAAAAAAAAAUAAAAAUAAAUAAAUAAAGAUGGGGAGAAGAGUUUCCCGGUACAUCUCAUAUUUACAUAACAAUAUAGCAGUGAAAAUGGGAAUCACUUGCCUUUGGAAUAUUAUAUUGUUUACAUUUCAAAGUUCUCUAGGGACACAGGAAAAAACUGAUCCAACAGAAACUUCCUUCCAGUGUAAAACGCACACUUGAGAAUUUGGUGAACACGUCUCAUUGCCUUUGGUUGGUGCGAAGAGUCCCUGCACCCCGCUAGGGCUGUGGGGUUCCAACUUGCCAGCAGAGCCCAAGGCCCCAGGAUUCUUAAGAACCAAAUGAGUCGGGGUGGGGCGGGGAUGGGUGGAAGGCUGAUGGCUGGCAAGGCGGAAAGAUCAGAAUGGGGCCAGACACUUGAUCUUACCUGGUGAGGUCACGUUUAAGUGUCUGCGUUUCUAAACGAGGGUCACAGUUACAUGAGUGGCGUCGCUGCCUUACGCCAAGCCCUUGACCCCUAGAGGACAUAAGAACCCCUUUUCCAGUCUGUCGUGGGCCACCCUCUUGUCUGUACUUGCUCCUUCUUCAAACUGAAUCAGGGAUUCCUUGCGCACACCUGCAACAAGCGUCUUGCAGAAGCUGCGGGAAGAGCAAAGUCCGCCCCAGUCGGGGGGGGGGGCGGUGGGGGAGUUUUGUUUAAAUGGAAGUGACCAAGAGACAACAGGUGGCGGCCCACCAGGGGAAGGUGGUUUCCUUGAAGCUAGGUUCCUCCCUCUUUGAUGUCACUCAUCGGGGAGUGGGCGUGUCCUUGGGAACUGUCCAAUCAGGGGCGGGGCUGGGCCUGUGGGUGUGGCCACGCAUCCCACCAGCGUGGACGUCCCUGUUUGUUCUGGCCUCCCUCGGGUCGCGCGUGGACUGCCUCACCGGUCUCUGGUGGCUCUGCCUCAGCUUCUGUCAGGCUGUGACCUGCACUGGCUGCGGGGGUCGUAGGAAGGACUCGGGGGACCCGGGAGCCUUAGAAAUGGACUCAGUGGCCAUUGAGGACGUGGCUGUGAACUUCACCUCGGAGGAGCGGGCCUUACUGAAUCCUUCGCAGAGGAAUCUGUGAUGUCUGAAAUCUUCAGGAACCUGGCCUCAGUUGAAGUUGUAUGGUAGAGAGACUCAGUGAAAGUGAAGAAGGUAGUCCAUGUGGAGAACACUUCAGUGUUAGUCCAAAUCUAAAUGUGAACAAGAUGGGGCUGGCCCCGUGGCCAAGUGGUUAAGUUCCCGUGCUCCGCUGCAGGCUGCCCAGUGUUUUGUUGGUUCGAAUCCUGGGCGUGGACAUGGCACUGCUCAUCAAACC